CUUUGUGUUGUUGUCGUGUUGGAGGGCUAGCUGUCGGGGGAGCUACUGCGACGAGCUCACCGCCGCCGUCUGGGUCGCUGUCGGAGGAAGAGAGCUUGCACAAGGGGAUGCUGGAGUGGCUCGCCGCUGCCGGAAGCGCCACUGCACCUCUGGCCGCCGGGAAGUCACAUUGAGGUCGCCGUUCUUCUGCCGCCGCCGCUGCCGGGGUUUCUGGUCAAUGGGUAUGGCGCUGUUGUUGCCGGAACCACCACCGGUGUUGCCGCUAGUUGUUUCCCUAAAGUCCGAGUCGUUGUGGUUGCUGAGAAAGUGAUUUGGAGCUGAGGUUGUAGCUGCUGCAGUUUCGGGUUGAGAGGAAAGGUUCCGUCGACGCGUUUGGAUUAUAGUUUCAACAAUCGAGAACUAUGGCCAGCUCUAUCUUGUCGCUACUCCGGUUCAAA
rnacentral:lncRNA from 1 species